UGAACGCUAGCGACAGGCCUAACACAUGCAAGUCGAGGGCAGCACAAGGAGCAAUCUGAGGUGGCGACCGGCGCACGGGUGAGUAACACGUAUGCAACCUGCCUGUAAGCGGGGAAUAACCCGUUGAAAGACGGACUAAUACCGCAUAAUACUAAAUUACUGCAUGGUAAUUUAUUUAAACAUUUAUGGCUUACAGAUGGGCAUGCGCAUGAUUAGCUAGUUGGAGAGGUAACGGCUCCCCAAGGCAACGAUCAUUAGGGGUUCUGAGAGGAAGGUCCCCCACACUGGUACUGAGACACGGACCAGACUCCUACGGGAGGCAGCAGUGAGGAAUAUUGGUCAAUGGACGAGAGUCUGAACCAGCCAAGUCGCGUGCAGGAAGAAUGUCCUUAAUGGAUUGUAAACUGCUUUUGCAGGGGAAUAAAGUGCAUCACGUGUGAUGUUUUGUAUGUACUCUGCGAAUAAGGAUCGGCUAACUCCGUGCCAGCAGCAGC
rnacentral:rRNA from 1 species